GGGUCAGUAGGUCGGUCGUGCCACCGGUACGUACUGGUCUCACUGAUUCCUCCUUCCUGAAGAACCGUAAUGCCACUAAUUUGGUGUUGCGGGGAAACAGGACUGUUACUUUGAAAAAAUUAGAGUGUUUAAAGCAAGCUAACGCUUGAAUACAUUAGCAUGGAAUAAUGAAAUAGGACGAUCGAUCCUAUUUUGUUGGUUUCUAGGAUUGACGUA
rnacentral:rRNA from 1 species